rnacentral:rRNA from 1 species
UCGAUUAGUUUGAUCAUGGCUCAGGACGAACGCUGGCGGCGUGCCUAAUACAUGCAAGUCGAACGAGACUUUCCUCGGUGGUAACACCCUUGAUUGUCUAGUGGCGAACGGGUGAGUAACACGUGAGAAACCUGCCCUGAAGACGGGGAUAACAGGAGGAAACUUCUGCUAAUACCCGAUACCCCCACCGGAUCGCACGGUCUGGUGAGGAAAUGGAUUCCGCUUCAGGAGGGUCUCGCGGCCUAUCAGCUUGUUGGUGAGGUAAUGGCUUACCAAGGCUUGGACGGGUAGCUGGUCUGAGAGGACGAUCAGCCACACUGGGACUGAGACACGGCCCAGACUCCUACGGGAGGCAGCAGUAAGGAAUAUUGCGCAAUGGGCGAAAGCCUGACGCAGCAACGCCGCGUGCGGGAUGAAGGCCCUCGGGUUGUAAACCGCUUUCAGUAGGGAAGAAAAUGACGGUACCUACAGAAGAAGCCCCGGCCAACUACGUGCCAGCAGCCGCGGUAACACGUAGGGGGCGAGCGUUGUCCGGAUUUAUUGGGCGUAAAGAGCUCGUAGGCGGUUUCGUAAGUCGGAUGUGAAAACUCCAGGCUCAACUUGGAGACGCCAUUCGAUACUGCGAUGACUUGAGUCCGGUAGGGGAGUGUGGAAUUCCUGGUGUAGCGGUGAAAUGCGCAGAUAUCAGGAGGAACACCGGCGGCGAAGGCGGCACUCUGGGCCGGUACUGACGCUGAG